UACAUGUUAAUGUAAAUGCAUAAGAGAUUUUGAUUUUCUAAGAUUUGGUGAAAAUCCAUUACAUGUAAA
rnacentral:tRNA from 1 species